UGUCCCGACCUUGAGAGCGCCCGCUGGACACCAGAGCCUCCCGUCGUGCAACCACUCCUUUUCGCCCACCCAAGGCCCGAUCGGCCCUGCCUCUGGGACUACGACUCCUCCCGUUCCUACCAGAGGCCCGCCCCCGUGUAACCAGCCUGGGGGCCAUGACACUCUCCCCCCCUGAACUACUAGAUGAGGACCUAACACGCCGAGCC